UUUAUACUCCCUCUGUCCAACAAAAGAUGUCUCAAGUUUGUCAAAAUUUGGAUGUAUUUAGACAUGACUUAGUACAUAUAGAUGCAUUCAAAUUUAGUUAAAGUUGAGACAUCCUUUGUUGGACAGAGGAAGUAGAAA
rfam:Brachypodium distachyon strain Bd21 chromosome 1, whole genome shotgun sequence.